GUAUGCGAAAAAAAUUACAAAUAUCUUUAUUAUAUUACUCUACAUUUGCCCUGACCAAGCGGAAUAAAUACCUAAGAUGCUUAGUUCCUUCGUUCGACUUAAUUAAUUCGAAUCUUACUUUACAAGGCUACCUUUCUACCAUAUAUUGUACAGGGUGACCAAGCAUAGACUGCAUGAGCACGUAUCACAGUUCUACCCCAUUUACUUGAGACACGUACGAUUCCGGAACACCAGAAGAAUGAUUUUGAACAAAUUGUAUCACGGUUGGAAGCUCUUAUGGGGAUAAACAUUUAAGGCUGGUGUACCUAAUAAUACGCCCAAUUAAAAAACAGAACCCAAAAAUCAGACGAAACUCGAAGCCGAUAUAGCCGUGAUGACAAUAUUGGGUAUCAUACGGCUCCAGAAAGUUAUAUAGAGCAGCUGGCGGUGCGGACGUUCAUCAAUGGUGUUCGCGACGUGAAAAUGCAACAAGCUUUGAAACUUGCGUGACAUCAGAACAUAGACCCUCCUGGUAAUGCUCGCGUGCUCACUAUAGCUACAGAAGAUAAGUACGCAACUAUGGAAGAAAUAGAGAAAAUAUUGGAGCAAUUAGAGGUUGGAACAGCAACAAACAAAACGACCGAGGACUGCGAUGCUGGGGCCUGUGGUAAAAAUGGACACAUUAGAAGAAAUUCCCCAAAAGCGCAGCAACCACAGGAAAAUUAAAACGGGUCGACGGGAAGGGGUGAGCAUCGUCAACUCAUUCCCGACCAUGUUUAAGAAGGGCACUGAGAUUGGAACGUGUGCCCCAGUAGCUACAAUCGCGCGUUGUGUAAAUACAGUCAAGAUUGAUGACACUUUGAAAGGCUUCAAUCAAGGCUUAUGCAAGAAUCUGCCAGCAAGCGAAAAGGGCCAGGCUAGAAGGUUAAUUUGCCGCUACCAAGACGUGUUUACUUCAGAAAAGACUUGUCGACCAAAACAAUAUCACAUAAAAUAAAUACCUACGGGAGAUGCCCAACCUAUCGAGCAACAUCCCAGAAGGUUACCAUGGGCCAAACACGACGAAGCCCAUAAAAUCAUCGGCGACAUGACUAGAGAAGGAAUAAUUGAACCAUCCAGCAGCUCUUGGACCUCACCUGUGGUGCUAGUAAAGAAAAAAGACGGCAGCACUAUGUUUUGCAUAGAUGCCUGUAAUCUUUGCGAAACAGUGAAGUGUUGCAAAAUUUCUCUCCACUACACGUUUUUUGUGACUAUCUGCGCAACAGCAUUACCUUUAACUUUCUUCGUGAUGAGUGAUGACUUAUGGAGCAAGGCAUUUUUUGAAAGAAUUAACCAUUGGACCCAAAAUUGUUUUCGAAUUGUUUUUAGACGAAAAUAGCUUAUUUUAAGUGCAACUAAUCGAAUAUGUGACAUGAUAAGUAAUCAGAUUAUACCCAAUUUCCUGCAGUAUAGGUAUAUAUAGCAAUGAAUUACGGUGGACAGACAGAAAGGUGUUCAACAUGAAAGGUCUCAUUAUUUGUACUCUUUUGGUAUUGGCGUUUGUUGGCUUGUCAAUGGCUGACUGCAGCGGACAAAAGACGAAAGAAAAUUGCACCUGUGAAUUAUGGCUUAAAGAGUGCCCUGCAGGAUCUGAACAAUGCGACGUUAAGUCCGACAAUCCUUGCUCAAUCAUUUUCAAAACGUGUUGCAAACCUUGAAACCGAGAUGGUGUUACCUCUACAUUAAUUAAUUCAAUUAUUUCUGUUAUUAUACAAUAUCAAUAAAAUUGUUUGAAUUAUU